rnacentral:rRNA from 1 species
UACGUAGGGUGCAAGCGUUAAUCGGAAUUACUGGGCGUAAAGCGUGCGCAGGCGGUUUUGUAAGUCUGUCGUGAAAUCCCCGGGCUCAACCUGGGAAUUGCGAUGGAGACUGCAAGGCUAGAAUCUGGCAGAGGGGGGUAGAAUUCUACGUGUAGCAGUGAAAUGCGUGGAGAUGUGGAGGAACACCGAUGGCGAAGGCAGCCCCCUGGGUCAAGAUUGACGCUCAUGCACGAAAGCGUGGGGAGCAAACAGG